rnacentral:misc_RNA from 1 species
UACGGAGGGUGCAAACGUUGCUCGGAAUCACUGGGCGUAAAGGGGGCGUAGGCGGACUUGUAAGUCGGGUGUGAAAGCCCUCGGCUCAACCGAGGAAUUGCAUUCGAUACUGUAAGUCUUGAGUCCGGUAGAGGGAAGCAGAAUUCCUGGUGUAGCGGUGAAAUGCGUUGAUAUCAGGAGGAAUACCUGUGGCGAAGGCGGCUUCCUGGGCCGGUACUGACGCUGAGGCCCGAAAGCGUUGGGUAGCAAACGGG